rnacentral:piRNA from 1 species
UUAUUAACUUGGGUCUUCUC